rnacentral:rRNA from 1 species
UACGUAGGGUGCGAGCGUUGUCCGGAAUUAUUGGGCGUAAAGGGCUCGUAGGCGGUUUGUCGCGUCGGGAGUGAAAUCCACUGGCUUAACUGGUGGCUUGCUUUCGAUACGGGCAGACUGGAGGUAUGCAGGGGAGAACGGAAUUCCUGGUGUAGCGGUGAAAUGCGCAGAUAUCAGGAGGAACACCGGUGGCGAAGGCGGGUCUCUGGACAGUUCCUGACACUGAGGCACGAAGGCCAGGGGAGCAAACGGG